rnacentral:rRNA from 1 species
UACAGAGGGUGCGAGCGUUUAAUCGGAAUUACUGGGCGUAAAGCGCGUGUAGGCGGGAUGGCAAGUCGGGUGUGAAAGCCCUCAGCUCAACUGAGGAAGUGCGCCCGAAACUACCGUUCUUGAGUGCCGGAGAGGGUGGCGGAAUUCCCGGUGUAGAGGUGAAAUUCGUAGAUAUCGGGAGGAACACCAGUGGCGAAGGCGGCCACCUGGACGGACACUGACGCUGAGA